AGUGAACGCUGGCGGUAGGCCUAACACAUGCAAGUCGAACGGCAGCACAGUAAGAGCUUGCUCUUACGGGUGGCGAGUGGCGGACGGGUGAGGAAUACAUCGGAAUCUACUUUUUCGUGGGGGAUAACGUAGGGAAACUUACGCUAAUACCGCAUACGACCUACGGGUGAAAGCAGGGGAUCUUCGGACCUUGCGCGAUUGAAUGAGCCGAUGUCGGAUUAGCUAGUUGGCGGGGUAAAGGCCCACCAAGGCGACGAUCCGUAGCUGGUCUGAGAGGAUGAUAAGCCACACUGGAACUGAGACACGGUCCAGACUCCUACGGGAGGCAGCAGUGGGGAAUAUUGGACAAUGGGCGCAAGCCUGAUCCAGCCAUACCGCGUGGGUGAAGAAGGCCUUCGGGUUGUGAAGCCCUUUUGUUGGGAAAGAAAAGCAGCAGGUUAAUACCCCGCUGUUCUGACGGUACCCAAAGAAUAAGCACCGGCUAACUUCGUG
rnacentral:rRNA from 1 species